GCUGGGAGUGGUGGCAGACACCUGUAAUCCCAGUUCUUGGGAGGCUGAGACAGGAGGAUUUAAAGUUCAAAGCUAGCCUCAGCAAUUUAGCAACCCUGUCUCAA
rnacentral:sRNA from 1 species